rnacentral:rRNA from 1 species
UUGAAGAGUUUGAUCCUGGCUCAGAGUGAACGCUAGCGGUGCGCCUAACACAUGCAAGUCGAGCGACUCUUCGAGAGGAGCGGCGAACGGCUGCGUAACACGUUGGUACCUGCCUCGUACUCAGGGAUAACACACCGAAAGGUGUGCUAAUACCGGAUAGUCCCGAAAGGGUAAAGCUUUCGCGGUACGAGAGGGGCCUGCGGCCUAUCAGUUUGUUGGUGAGGUAAAAGCUCACCAAGACUAUGACGGGUAGCUGAUCUGAGAGGAUGAUCAGCCAGAAUGGGACUGAGACACGGCCCAUACUCCUACGGGAGGCAGCAGUGAGGAAUCUUCCGCAAUGGGGGCAACCCUGACG